GUCAGACUCCCACCUCUCCCGCCUCCACUCCCCAACUUUCACCCUCCAUGCUCCCGCACCGCUGUCAACAGUGCCAGCUCCGCCCUCUCCCUUGCCUCGGCGCCCCCACCACGGCGACGCAGCGGGCUUCUGGGCUCAGGUCCCCGCUCCCGGACUGCUGGGUGCCCCCUCUCCCACCCUGCCCCCCAAACUCGGGGCGCGCAGGGCGCGGUGGCGGCGACAGCGCUUUUCCAGUCUUUCCUCACACCAAGGACCAGGCGGACUCUGCAGAUUGCGUCAACAUUGCGAAAAGAAGAAGGCGGAGCGGUGGCCCCUCCCCCGCCCCUCGGCCGGCUCCCUGGAGAGAAAAGCCCCAGCACACGACCUAACCGCGGAGAAGAGGGAACGAAAGUAAAACGAAAGCACUCCGAGCGCAUCAGCCACAGCCACUUCCCUCAGGGCGUCGGUGGUAGGCCAAAGUGUGGUGGCAAAGUUUGGCCGAGGCGAGUGUAAGCUGUUCCUAGAGGAAGCCCGGGAGUUGCCGGGGUCUGUCCUGGGCUGCCAGGCUUCCUCCACCUCCGGAAAAACCGACAUAGAUUCUAUAUCAACCUUGCAUGGAAAGUGUGGUUCUGGAUCUUGAAAUUGAAGACUGUUUGGGACCCUGCAGAAGUGAAGGAGUGUGGCACAGAGCGAGUUUGGCCUCCUGUGGCAGAUCCCUUAGCGGAGUCUUGGCUAGGAGUGGAGGAGCGCGGCAAGGUCGCGCAAAGGCCUCUUGGGACUCAAGGCCCACGGAAUUCUUGCUCCGCUGAAAUUGGAUAAGCACUCCGCCCACGCGCAAACAACCAACGUUCUAUACAAUUUAAAAGACUUAACGAAACUCUAGGGGCAUCCCUCUCCCCUCAAGGCAGUCACUGCAGCCACAAAGAUGGCCCCGGCAGGUUUGAAAGGGGCGGGUGGGCGGCCUUAUAGACUGCAGACUUUAGCAGUUAAGGGAAGACAUCUUCUCGAGGUGAAGGUAACCAAACACAACUGGGGCGCUCAGGAAUGGCAGCUGGUGUCAAUCUGGUCAGCUGAAAUGUGUCCUUGCUUCCCCUACUUCCCCCACAGAGAGCCGACACAGACAGAUUCCCCUUCAAGUAGCUCACAGUCUUCACUCGAGCCCCGCCUCCAUACUCACUUUUCUUAACACACACUUUAUUCUCUUCACUAACACCUUUAUUGUAAUACUAUCUGUGGGUCUGGGCAGGUGUUAGAAAGACCUGCAGAGGCCAAGUGAGUCGAAAGUGGAAACCGUUUUCUCGAGGGCUCGGUUUGCUCACCCACACCUGAUGAAGGACUUAGCAGACGGCC
rnacentral:lncRNA from 1 species